rnacentral:rRNA from 1 species
CAGGCUUAACACAUGCAAGUCGAGGGGCAGCAUGGUCUUAGCUUGCUAAGGCCGAUGGCGACCGGCGCACGGGUGAGUAACACGUAUCCAACCUGCCGUCUACUCUUGGACAGCCUUCUGAAAGGAAGAUUAAUACAAGAUGGCAUCAUGAGUCCGCAUGUUCACAUGAUUAAAGGUAUUCCGGUAGACGAUGGGGAUGCGUUCCAUUAGAUAGUAGGCGGGGUAACGGCCCACCUAGUCUUCGAUGGAUAGGGGUUCUGAGAGGAAGGUCCCCCACAUUGGAACUGAGACACGGUCCAAACUCCUACGGGAGGCAGCAGUGAGGAAUAUUGGUCAAUGGGCGAGAGCCUGAACCAGCCAAGUAGCGUGAAGGAUGACUGCCCUAUGGGUUGUAAACUUCUUUUAUAAAGGAAUAAAGUCGGGUAUGGAUACCCGUUUGCAUGUACUUUAUGAAUAAGGAUCGGCUAACUCCGUGCCAGCAGCCGCGGUAAUACGGAGGAUCCGAGCGUUAUCCGGAUUUAUUGGGUUUAAAGGGAGCGUAGAUGGAUGUUUAAGUCAGUUGUGAAAGUUUGCGGCUCAACCGUAAAAUUGCAGUUGAUACUGGAUAUCUUGAGUGCAGUUGAGGCAGGCGGAAUUCGUGGUGUAGCGGUGAAAUGCUUAGAUAUCACGAAGAACUCCGAUUGCGAAGGCAGCCUGCUAAGCUGCAACUGACAUUGAGGCUCGAAAGUGUGGGUAUCAAACAGGAUUAGAUACCCUGGUAGUCCACACGGUAAACGAUGAAUACUCGCUGUUUGCGAUAUACUGCAAGCGGCCAAGCGAAAGCGUUAAGUAUUCCACCUGGGGAGUACGCCGGCAACGGUGAAACUCAAAGGAAUUGACGGGGGCCCGCACAAGCGGAGGAACAUGUGGUUUAAUUCGAUGAUACGCGAGGAACCUUACCCGGGCUUAAAUUGCAGAUGAAUUACGGUGAAAGCCGUAAGCCGCAAGGCAUCUGUGAAGGUGCUGCAUGGUUGUCGUCAGCUCGUGCCGUGAGGUGUCGGCUUAAGUGCCAUAACGAGCGCAACCCUUGUUGUCAGUUACUAACAGGUUCCGCUGAGGACUCUGACAAGACUGCCAUCGUAAGAUGUGAGGAAGGUGGGGAUGACGUCAAAUCGGCACGGCCCUUACGUCCGGGGCUACACACGUGUUACAAUGGGGGGUACAGAGGGCCGCUACCACGCGAGUGGAUGCCAAUCCCCAAAACCUCUCUCAGUUCGGACUGGAGUCUGCAACCCGACUCCACGAAGCUGGAUUCGCUAGUAAUCGCGCAUCAGCCACGGCGCGGUGAAUACGUUCCCGGGCCUUGUACACACCGCCCGUCAAGCCAUGGGAGCCGGGGGUACCUGAAGUGCGUAACCGCGAGGAGCGCCCUAGGGUAAAACUGGUGACUGGGGC